GCCAGGCCCAUGUAUGGGCAUUCAGCACUGGCUACACGAAUUCAAAUUGAGGGACUUCCUGGACAUCCUCUCAUCUGCGACAGACCAAACAACCUCCCGGUGCCUCGCCUGCUGUGGGUGAGGCCUCCUUCCCGGGCUCAGGCCUGCAGGCUCUGCCCAAGCACUGCCCCCUUGCUUCCUCCAUGGUAAGUAAACUCCCCAGAAGAGGAAUCUUAGUGCCUGGUGCUAAAGAACCCCCAAAACAGAGGCGGGCUCGGAGCCCCUGCUUCGAGAGUCGACACAGUUCCUUCGGUGGCGGGGCCGGGCAGCUCAGGCCUGGCACCAUGAUACCUUGCUCAGUGCUGGGUGCCGCCUUGGCCCUUCCCCUGGCCCCGAGCUUAUAUUUUCCCCACCUUCUUCCUGACUUCCCACUUCCAUCCCACUCUCAGCGCCACCUCCACCCCAUCACAUCCCCCUUCCCUGGACGGCACAGAUUCUCCAGAGGUGUGGGGACAGUGGCUGUUUUAUUUUUGUUCCUCCUUAGAUGUUCUGUUUGUUGAGCGAAUUAUUUUCUUCCUGGCUCCGAGCUGGCGGCUGACACGGCUCACCCGCGCUAAUUAGCUAAGCCAGCUGGUGCGUUGGUAAGGUUUUUCUGUGCUCCUCGGUGUGUGUUUCUUUUUUUAAACAUGAUCAAUACCCUGUCCGGCUGGGCUCCCUCACACACUCCCUAUUGUUCUCCUGUUUGCAUUGUGCCUGAGUCCUGGUCAAGGACUCGGGGAGCCUCGGAAGACACGCUUUUCCCGCGGCUGGCGUUCAGCCUGGAGCCGGGGAGACACCGCGCAGCAGAUGUGGCUCGACCCCCUGCUCCGCGCCUGCAGCUUGCAGUGAUUUUCCGUAGCUGUGGACAGUGCCUCAGGAAGCCCACAUGGAUGCCAGACAGUCGGGUAAAGAUGAGAAAUUGCUGUGUGGCUCCGGGGCAGAUUGCCUUGCCUCUCUGAGCCUCUGCUUCUUUCUUUGUAAAAGAAGUCGGUUCCCAGUUCCAGUGUGAGUCUCCUACAUACUAUGAUUCUCAAAGGUUUCAAAGGGCAUCCGGAGAUGGGGGCCCUCCCCGUGAGUAGGGGUACAAGGUCACAAACAGGAUCUUGUUCACUCCUGCUGCAGUCCUGGAGUUAAACAAUAUAGACCUUUGCCAAGUGAGCUCCGGAAGAGGCCACAACCAGACAGGGGUGGGCUGAAGGCCCGACCCCCCUCCUCCAGCUGGUGCUGUCCUCCCCACAGUUCCCUGGAGUCUGCCUGCUUAUUUUGUGCAAGAGACACAAGAAGAUUCUCUGAAGCUCUCCCUUCCCCACUGUCGUUCAGCUGUAGUGAUUGGGAGCCCACAAUGUGCACUGCGGAGAAGAUAGCUCCAACAUGUUUUUAAUAUAGCGUGUUGGCAGCUGCAGAUGUGCUUCAUGAGUCUUCUCAUUCAGGGACUUAGGCUGAAAGGGCAGCCCCUAAUUUGGGACCUGCCGAUCUGACAAUAGAACUGAGCAAGAGAACUGACCGAACACGCUGUACUCCUUGUAUCUUCUGAACUGACUCAUAUUCCAUGAAUCCAAGUGAGUCACAUGGCCAAGCUUGAUGGGGGUGUGGGGAGCUGGCACACAGGGGCAGGAGGUGGGGGCAUAGAAUAUAAUCCAUUUUCUUGUUUGUUUGUUUCAGAUGGAGUCUUGCUCUGUCGCCAGGCUGGAGUGCAGUGGCGUGA
rnacentral:lncRNA from 10 species